rnacentral:tRNA from 1 species
AAGCCCCGGGGCCCCUUGGGGCCCUUCUUCAAAUUUGCAUUUUGACGUGUCACACCCCAGGGCU